UUAAAACACAAUAAAAAAAGGAAAAAAAAUGUGGACCAUUAUUUUUCAAGGCUACUGAAACAUACAGAGCAGAAGAUGAAUCUAGAGCAAGCUAAAACACCCCAAAUUUUUAGGUUUUUUCACCAAGACUUAGCUUUUUUAUUUCUUUUUAACAAAUACAUAUUGGAUUGUUGUGAAACUUUGAUAAAUUAAGAGUUUUUGAAAAGUUGAUUUUGACAGUGUUUGCCAGUUUUAAAAUUUUUUAUGAAGAGCAAAUUUUCAGAGGUUCUUUCUCUGCCAUUUUCACUGAUUUUACUUCUGUGCCCUGGAUUUAAAUAGUACAGAUUAAGUUUCCUUCUUUGAACAGUACAAUUUUAGCCUGACACUUUAGUUUCGGGUCCCCUAAAGGAGCAAGCAAAUUGGUAGGACACUACUCAUUGAAUGAUGUAAGACAGUUUGCCAGUCAUUAUCCACUUCACUUAUUGUUACAUGGUAUUGUACUGUUCAGCUGCUCUGGCUCUGAUUCACUCCAUUAGGUCAUGUUUCAUAAGAGAUUUUUAAAGUUCAAUUGAAAUAAUUAAUCAGAAUCAUGAAUCGGCAUUAAUUGGAGGCUCCUAAAUGAGAAAGUAGUUAAUAAUGAUUACGUUUGAAGUUAAAAUAGAUAUUAUAUCAUUCACAUUAGAAAAGGUGAACAUAUCACUCAUGUUCAGAGGAUCCUUUUCCUUAGUAAAAAUGCAUUCAUACAACACAUGGCACUGCCAAGAUUUAAAAUUCAUACAUCUGUAAUAUCUGUGAACAUGGCAAAGAUUUGCCUUUCAAUAAUUCAUAUAACACUCUGUCAUAGGCUGAGACAGAUCAAGAUAUGUGGAGCCCCACAGCAGGUUGGUAACUUGGCACCACUUAAACAGAUACUUUAAAAAUAUUCUUUCAGCAUUUAUUUGGUGGAUACAGAGGGAAAUUGAUUUUUUCCUUACUUAUUUAUUUUCAUAUCAAAUAACUUUAAAACACUAUUUUAUUAUUUUAUUUUAAUUAAUUAACAAAUAAACAUUUUAUAUAUCCAAGGUAUACAACAUGACGAUCUGAUAUACACAUAUACAUUGUGUAAUGGCACAAGUGUAUAGUCAAGUUAACAUAUCCACCAUAUUCAUAGAUAACAUUUUUAUGUAUGUGUGCAUAUGGUAGGGACAUUUAAAACCUGCCCUCUCAUCAAAUAUCAAAUAAUACAGUAUUGUUAACUAUAAUCACCUUGCUGUACAUUAGAUCUAUAGAACUUCUUUAUUUUAUUACUGAAAGAUUAUGUUUUUGACCAAAAUCUCUUUAUCCCAUCCUCCAGCCUCUGGAAAUGACUGUUCUACUCUGCUUCUAUGAGCUUGAUCUUUAAAACAUUCCAUAUAUUAGUAAAAUCAUUCAGUAUUUGUCUUUCUGCAUCUGGCUUGUUUUGUUUAGCGUAAUGUCCUCUAGGCUCAUCCAUGUUGUUGCAAAUGGCAGAAUUUCCUUCUUUUUAUUGUUGAAUAAUAAAAACACAGGCAAAAAAAGCAAAAACAAGGCAAGGCAGGCUACAUCAAACUGAAUAGCUGUUUGCAGAGCAAAGAAAAAAAUUCAACAACAUUGAAAGACAGCCUAUGGAAUGAGAGAAAAUAUUUUCAUAUCAUAUACCUUACAAGGGGUUAAUAUAAAAAAUGCAAGAUACUCAACAGCAAAAAGUCUAAACAACACAAUUUAAAAUGUGCAAAAACCAGAACAGAUACUUUUCCAAAUAAGACGUAAAUAUGGCCAACAGGUAUAUGAAAAGUUCAUCAGCAUCACUAAUCAUUGGGGAAAUGCUGAUUAGGACCACAAUGAGAUAUCACCUCAUACCUGUUAAGAUGGCUAUCAAAAUGGCAAGAAAAACAAGUGUUGAUAUGGAGAAAAGGGAACCUUGGUGUACUGUUGGUGAGAAAGUGAAUUUGUAUAGUCAUUAUGGAAAACAGUAUAGUUUCCUCAAAAAAUUAAAAACAGAACUACCAUAUAGUGCAGCAAUUCUACUUCUGGGUAUAAAUUCAAAAGAAUGAAAUCAGUAUCUUGAAGAGAUAUCUGCACUCGCAUGUUCAUUGCAACAUUAUUGACAAUAGCCAAGAUAUGGAAAACAAACCUAAGUGUCUAUUGGCACAUGAAUGAAUAAAGAAAAUAGUAUAUGUAUAUACACACAUGCAUAUGCACAAUGGAAUAAAAAAUAAUACAAUUUUAAUUUACUUGGAAGUAUAAGUUGAUUUUUUACUUUAAUCAGCAUUUAAAGCUGGGUGAUUCAGUUAUAUUAGUCAAAAGAUUAAUUUCAAUAAAUACUUUGAUGUAGUUAUCCAAAAAUAUUUAGUUCAUUUGCUUUAAAUAAUGCUGCAAGUGAUAUAGAAAAAAUAAUUAUUAAUCUUUUAGUUCCUGAUCUUAAAGCUUUUACGUUUAUGUUAGAAUACCUUAUUAAAUAUCAUAAAACCAGGACUUCUGUUCUUCAUAGCUUUCUUCUGUUCUGUGCCUCCAGAACUACAAGUUAAGUCAAGUUCUCAUUUUGAGGUGUUUGCUUUUGUACAAAAGCUCUCAUUCUUUUGUACAGGCAAGGCUUCAUUGCUGGGUAUUGUAUUGGAGUUUUGCACCAAAUGGUUCACCAGUUAGUAAUGUUUAAGAACUUGAUUACCAUUUGGGAUAGAGAGUAUAAUUCUGAUUAAGGCUAGAAUGUAGUUCUAAGAGUCUUAAUUUAAUGCUGCUUGAUAAAAAUAGUGACUUAGAAUACUACUUGAUAAAAGUCAUGGUCAGAAUAUGUGGCUCAGACUCAAAGUUUCUGACUUUCCUGAGUGACUACAUUCAAAUAUCUAUCCAAUUAUCAUCUCUUUAUUUGUAGAAGAGGAAGAAAUGAAGUAAGAGCAAGCAUUACUAGAAGAAUGUUGACUUUCCCUUCACACUAGGCCCAAUUUUCCUCUGCUUUGGUUUUCUCUGUUAACCUAAUUGGACUUUUAACAAAAAUAAAGCAGCACUUCAAUAUGCAAACAUUGAGACCCAGCUGGAAAGCAUGCAAUACCCACUGAGGCUUCUAAUGCUAUGUGAAAUACACAAAGGGUGGUGUGCUAGGCUAACCUUUUCAAAUGGCAGAAGAACCAGUCCAGAAGACUAAAAGCUUUUCUACUUACUUUCCCAUUCAAUUAAACAUCUACACACUGGAA